UUUUAGGUAAAUUUAGUCCAUCGUAUUAUUAUUAUUAUUUAUAGAUAAAAUUUAUGAAUUAACGCGUGAUAUUAGUUUUUGAUAUAACAUUUAUAGUAGUUGAAUUAUUCAUUAUUUUAACUGCCCAUAACUAAAAAUCAAUCAAUAUAAAUAUAAUAAAUAAUAAAUAAUAAGUUGAUACAGUGAAUCUAUCCAAAAAUUUCUCCAUAUUUCUCCCUAUAAACAUUAUUCAUUAAAGACACCAUCCACACAACCCCUUUUCUCUCUUUGUUCUGCUAGCAAUAUAGUCAGUCAGGACUUAAUGGCUCUUUCUAAGGCAUUAAUGGUGCUCUUUCUUACAAUCUUGCUAAUGAUGUCCUCUCAUCAAGUGCUGUCUGCGGAAAAUACUGAAUUCCCAGAAUCUUCUAGUAAGCUAGGAAGGAAAUUGGCUCAAGCCACUCCUAGUCCUCCUAUGGCUACAUAUGAAACAUUUCCAGGAGGAGCAGGAGGAUGCUACCCACCGGACUGUAAUUAAGGGUCAAUACAUUAUAGGUACGGCACGUAGUAGAGAAAAGCUAUAUCUACAAAGCAAAUAUAUAUGGUUUAUGCGUCAGUUUCUAUUUGUUCAAUGAUUAGGAGAGCUAUAUAACUGAACACUGUCUCCAGAGAUUCCAAAUUAUCGCUUUGAGUUACAGCGAUGCAAGUUGUUAGUUCUUUUUAUUACUUUCUGGUUUGGGUAAUUCCAUAUUUUAAUUAUGGUAAA